rnacentral:rRNA from 1 species
AGGUGCUGCAUGGCUGUCGUCAGCUCGUGUUGUGAAAUGUUGGGUUAAGUCCCGCAACGAGCGCAACCCUUAUCCUUUGUUGCCAGCGAUUCGGUCGGGAACUCAAAGGAGACUGCCAGUGAUAAACUGGAGGAAGGUGGGGAUGACGUCAAGUCAUCAUGGCCCUUACGACCAGGGCUACACACGUGCUACAAUGGCGCAUACAAAGAGAAGCGACCUCGCGAGAGCAAGCGGACCUCAUAAAGUGCGUCGUAGUCCGGAUUGGAGUCUGCAACUCGACUCCAUGAAGUCGGAAUCGCUAGUAAUCGUGGAUCAGAAUGCCACGGUGAAUACGUUCCCGGGCCUUGUACACACCGCCCGUCACACCAUGGGAGUGGGUUGCAAAAGAAGUAGGUAGCUUAACCUUCGGGAGGGCGCUUACCACUUUGUGAUUCAUGACUGGGGUGAAGUCGUAACAAGGUAACCGUAGGGGAACCUGCGGUUGGAUCACCUCCUUACCUUAAAGAAGC